CACCGCGUAGUGUAGUGGUUAGCACGCUCGUCACAAUCGAGAGGCCCGGGUUCGAGUCCCGGCGCGGCGA
rnacentral:tRNA from 1 species